GUGCUUGCUUUGACAGCACAUUUACUAAAAAUGGAAUGAUAGAGAAAGUUAGCAUGGCCUCUGCACAGGAUGACAUGCAAAUUCAGAAGUGUUCCAUAUUUUU
ensembl:snRNA U6 U6 spliceosomal RNA